rnacentral:rRNA from 1 species
UACGUAGGGUGCAAGCGUUAAUCGGAAUUACUGGGCGUAAAGCGUGCGCAGGCGGUUCGCUAAGACAGAUGUGAAAUCCCCGGGCUUAACCUGGGAACUGCAUUUGUGACUGGCGGGCUAGAGUAUGGCAGAGGGGGGUAGAAUUCCGCGUGUAGCAGUGAAAUGCGUAGAGAUGCGGAGGAACACCGAUGGCGAAGGCAGCCCCCUGGGCUAGCACUGACGCUCAGGCACGAAAGCGUGGGGAGCAAACAGG